UACGUAGGUGGCGAGCGUUGUCCGGAAUUAUUGGGCGUAAAGGGCGCGUAGGCGGUCUUUUAAGUCAGAUGUGAAAACGUGGGGCUCAACUUCACGAUUGCAUUUGAAACUGGAGGACUUGAGGACAGGAGAGAAAAGUGGAAUUCCCAGUGUAGCGGUGAAAUGCGUAGAUAUUGGGAGGAACACCAGUGGCGAAGGCGACUUUCUGGACUGCACCUGACGCUGAGGCGCGAAAGCUAGGGGAG
rnacentral:rRNA from 1 species